AACGAACGCUGGCGGCAGGCCUAACACAUGCAAGUCGAACGUGAAGCCACCUUCGGGUGGUGGAAAGUGGCAGACGGGUGAGUAACGCGUGGGAACGUGCCUUUCGGUUCGGAAUAACCCAGGGAAACUUGGGCUAAUACCGGAUACGCCCUUCGGGGGAAAGAUUUAUCGCCGAAAGAUCGGCCCGCGUCGGAUUAGCUAGUUGGUAGGGUAAUGGCCUACCAAGGCGACGAUCCGUAGCUGGUCUGAGAGGAUGACCAGCCACACUGGGACUAGGACACGGCCCAGACUCCUACGGGUGGGAGCAGUGGGGAAUAUUGGAAAGUGGGCGGAAGCAUGAUCCAGCCAUGCCGCGUGGGUUAAGAAGGCCCUAGGGUUGUAAACCCCUUUCAGCGGGGAAGAUAAUGACGGUACCCGCAGAAGAAGCCCCGGCUAACUCCGUGCCAGCCGCCGCCGUAA
rnacentral:rRNA from 1 species